rnacentral:lncRNA from 1 species
UCUUUCUAUUUUUUUUUGAAAUGGAGUCUUGCUCUGUUGCCCAGGCUGGAGUGCAGUGGCACACUCUUGGCUCACUGCAACCUCCACCUCCCGGGUUCAAGCGAUUCUCCCACUUCAGGCUCCCAAGUGGCUGGGAUUACAGGCACCCACCACCACACCCAGCUAAUUUUUGUACUUUUAGUAGAAAUGGGGUUUCGCCAUGUUGGCCAGGCUGGUCUCAAACUCCUGACCUCAGGUGAUCCACCCGCCUAGGCCUCCCAAAGUGUUGGGAUUACAGGCGUGAGCCACCACACCCUAGCCCUGAGUCUGUUUAUGCUUCUGUCAGGUGUGGCAUGGGCCUGCCUGGGAGCUAUUCUUUUUCUGUAAAGCACAGGCAGUUAAUCAGUGGUCUCUGGGAAGAAUCCAGCUCAGGGUUAUAUUUCGUUUGACCCACUCAAGUUUUAAAAAGUAAAUUAGUUGCCAAUGUGCAAACAUUAGAAGAGUUCACAGCUUCUCCAACAAUACCUAGAAGUUCAUCCGAUGGUGCCCGCAUUCCCUGCUCCAUCUGGAUGGUGCCCACAUUCCCUGCUCUGUCCAGACGGUGCCCACAUUCCCUGCUCUGUCUGGACGGUGCCCACAUUCCCUGCUCUGUCUGGACGGUGCUCACAUUCCCUGCUCUGUCUAGACAGUGCCCACAUUCCCUGCUCCAUCCAGACGGUGCCCAUACUCCCUGCUCUGUCUAGAUGGUGUCCACAUUCCCUGCUCCGUCUAGACUGUGCCCAUAUUCGCUGCUGGCUGCAAAUGCGAGGAGUUGACAGCAGCCUCCCCUUUACAAGGCAGGAGGUGCCACUGUUCGCCAUUGUCUCCACCUAGGGCUUCACUUGCUUUCUAUCUGCAGACAUCAGAGGGACCCACAUCUCUCUGUUCUGACACGCUGUGUGUUGAUGGCAGAGUUUAAUUAUCCACAUGCAAUCUUACUUUCCUUAUUCCCAAGUCCGUGGGGCUGCCUCAUCAAAGCAUUGUAAGAACUGAUAACCAUCUUCUAGAAGUAUCAUAGUGAUAUUAAGAACACACAUCACAGAUCAUAGUAAAUGGCUUUAAUUUUUUAGCGAAAUCUCACUACUGCAA